UACGGGGGGGGCAAGCGUUGUUCGGAAUUACGGGGCGUAAAGGGCUCGUAGGCGGCCAACUAAGUCAGACGUGAAAUCCCUCGGCUUAACCGGGGAACUGCGUCUGAUACUGGAUGGCUAGAGGUUGGGAGAGGGAUGCGGAAUUCCAGGUGUAGCGGUGAAAUGCGUAGAUAUCUGGAGGAACACCGGUGGCGAAGGCGGCAUCCUGGACCGGCAUUGACGCUGAGGCGCGAAAGCCAGGGGAGCAAACGGG
rnacentral:rRNA from 1 species